GCUGACCUUUGAUGGAUGGGGUGUUGGGUUAGCCCUGCUGGGAUUUGAACCUUUUUUUAGCAGGCUUUGUGGUCAGGGAUUUUGCCAGCUAAGCUAUGUCAUUGGCAGGGUGUGUCUUCACUAUGUUUUUGAGAUGUAGAAUAUAUGACAACAUGCCACACCCCUGGUAGACUGCAGAAUAGAGUUUAGAUACUUCGCCUCUUAGGACCUCUCACAUUGAACAGAUGAUGG